UACAGGAGGGUGCGAGCGUUAAUUCGGAAUUACUGGGCGUAAAGCGUGCGUAGACGGUUAUUUAAGUCCGGGUGUGGAAAGCCCCGGGCUCAACCUGGGAAUUGCAUUCGAGACUGCAUCGGCUAGAAUUGUGGAGAGGUAAGUGGAAUUCCGAGUGUAGAGGUGAAAUUCGUAGAUAUUCGCAAGAACACCAGUGGCGAAGGCGGCUCACUGGCCCGAUACUGACGCUGAGGCACGGAAAGCGACUGGGGAGCAAACAGG
rnacentral:rRNA from 1 species